GCGGAGCUGCUUUUCAGCAGAGACCUGCAGCAUCAGAAAGAGCCAGUGAGCUGGUGACCUGGGAAAAGAGAGUUGCAGGCAAAGGGAACGGCCAGUGCAGAGGCCGUGGGGUAAGAAUAACCUUGGUGUGCUCCAGGGACAGAAAGAAGACCAGGGCACCCAGUCCACUGAGUGGAAGGAAGAGAAAUAUGCCAAGGGUGGAAAGCCGCCGUGUAAGAAGUACCUUUCACCUUCCACCAUGAUUGUGAGGCCUCCCCAGCCACGUGGAAAUGCUGCGUCAAUGAUUGUAGUGCUAAUUGUUACAGACAUGACCACAAUGCCAAGGCGAAUGGGGACAAUGAAAUCCAUGGCUGGUUUUAAGGGCAGGUGCAGAGGAUCCAGCAUGUUAUUCUGAAACCCCAGAAGACGCUGCAGCUACCAAAUAGAAGGAGCCUGGAUCCCUGAAUGUCUUCAUGGAACAGAACAUUCUCCUCACUCCAGUCUGUUUGAACCAGAAUAUGACCUGAGCAAGAAAUAAGCCUUAAUUAUAUUUGACCAUAGAAUUCUGGUGAUAUUUCUAUGGCUGUAAGUCCAUGUUGAUUAAUACAAAGGGAUGCUGUAAAGCCUCUUCUAUUAAAAAAAGUUGCCCAAGGAGUGAAAGGAGAGAUAUUUUCUGUAAUUAAGAUUUUCAUAAUACAUAGAACAGGCUAUAGCACCUGGCAAUCAAUCAUAUGGGGUACAACAGAAAGAGGAAACAUUCCUGCUAUUAAAUUAACCAAACUGGAGUUCUUGUUAUAUAAUAUAGUAAAAUUUCCUCAAUCUUUCAGCCACCUUUAGUUCUGUAAUCUAUUAUUUCUGGGUAAAAGCAUACCAUUUGAUACACAAUCCAAACCCAAUUCUUAAUUAAUAACGUGUAUCCACUGUAUCUUACCACAUCCCAAAUCAUCUAAUACUUAACCACCUAGUUUCUAUGUUCCACUUACAUCAAACAUAUUCAUGUUUGGAAAAUUGAGCCAGCAUCUACUGCCUUAUCAGCUGAUGCAUAACAAUUUACUUUGUCUGUGCUCUAUAAUAAUGCAAGUCUGCUUGGAAAGAUAACACGUUAAAGGGUUAUCAGACCCUAACACCUUCGUAUAGAUGAAUUUAUCAGAUCCUCUGCUAAACCACUUUCGAAUCCUUGGCCAGUUCUCUACAUUUCAUGAAGAGUUAGCAUAGCCAGUCCAGGAGAUAUUAUCUUCAGGAUGUGGUCAGUUGUGGAAAGGAAGAUAGCUCUGAGGAUCUCUUUCCAGGGAAAAGAAAGACAUGAGGAUUGCUCCAAAGAUCCUCUUUCUGGGGGAAAACGCACAUACUACAG
rnacentral:lncRNA from 1 species